rnacentral:rRNA from 1 species
UACGUAGGGUGCGAGCGUUGUCCGGAAUUAUUGGGCGUAAAGAGCUCGUAGGCGGUGUGUCACGUCGGCCGUGAAAACCUGCAGCUUAACUGUGGCGUGCGGUCGAUACGGGCAUCACUGGAGUUCGGCAGGGGAGACUGGAAUUCCUGGUGUAGCGGUGGAAAUGCGCAGAUAUCAGGAGGAACACCGGUGGCGAAGGCGGGUCUC